ACUCGGGCAGUCCGCAGCCCACGUGGCCCUGAGCUGUCGCUCCUACAGACGAGACCUGCUCUUCAGAAAGAGAAAAAUAUUCAAACUUCACAGAAAGAAAAUUAAAACAGUUACAAAGAUUUCACAUAAUAGUAUACCUAUGAUAACCAUAAGGACUUUCGUGGUGGUGCAGUGGUUGAGAAUCCGCCCUGCUCCGGGAAGAUCCCACAUGCUGCGUAGCAACUGAGCCCGUGCACCACGACUACUGAGGCUGUGCUCUAGAGCCCGCGUGCCACAACCGCUGAAGCCCACGCUCCUAGAACCCAUGCUCCUCAACAAGAGAAGCCACUGCAAUGAGAAGCCCGCUCACCACAACGAAGAGUAGCCCCCACUCGCCGCAACUAGAGAAAGCCCGUGCACAGCAACGAAGACCCAACGCGGCCAAAAAUAAACAAAUAAAUAAAU